rnacentral:rRNA from 1 species
GACGAACGCUGGCGGCGUGCUUAACACAUGCAAGUCGAGCGGAAAGGCCACUUCGGUGGUACUCGAGCGGCGAACGGUGAGUAACACGUGAGUAAUCCGCCCCCCCCCUUGGGAUAGCCACCGGGAACGGGGAUUAAUACCGGAUAUUACCAUAUGUCCCAUGGCGUGGGGUGGAAAGUUUUUCGGUGGGGGAUGGGGUCGCGGCCUAUCAGCUUGAUGGUGAGGGAAUGGCUCACCAUGGCUUCGACGGGUAGCCGGCCUGAGAGGGUGACCGGUCACACUGGGACUGAGACACGGCCCAGACUCCUACGGGAGGCAGCAGUGGGGAAUAUUGGACAAUGGGCGGAAGCCUGAUCCAGCAACGCCGCGUGAGGGAUGACGGCCUUCGGGUUGUAAACCUCUUUCAGUACCGACGAAGCGCAAGUGACGGUAGGUACAGAAGAAGCACCGGCCAACUACGUG